rnacentral:rRNA from 1 species
UACGUAGGGUGCGAGCGUUGUCCGGAAUUAUUGGGCGUAAAGAGCUCGUAGGCGGUGUGUCACGUCGGCCGUGAAAACCUGCAGCUUAACUGUGGGCGUGCGGUCGAUACGGGCAUCACUGGAGUUCGGCAGGGGAGACUGGAAUUCCUGGUGUAGCGGUGAAAUGCGCAGAUAUCAGGAGGAACACCGGUGGCGAAGGCGGGUCUCUGGGCCGAUACUGACGCUGGAGGAAGCGAAAGCGUGGGGAGCAAACAGG